rnacentral:lncRNA from 1 species
UUUCGGCAGUGAGUGUUAGCCUCCGGUUUAGUUAGCCUUCUAGACACAACCGUGUUGAAGUUGACAAAUCAAGUCCAUAAUAUAAGUAGCGGAACACGGAUAAGAGCUUUUUACAUACAAGCGCUGCGUUACAUAUUUUGAAGCUAAUUUAGGAGUUUUUCCGGAACCGUGUUAAAGAUGAAAUUAUUUUCCACGGUCUUCUCCGCGGUAAUUUCGGUUGCUGUGUGUGUUGCUCAGUUGAAUUUGGAGGCAACUGAUGGAGAAAAUGUUACCAUAUCCUUCAAAACGGCUGGACUGGAGAGAGCCGAUCAAGUGAAGAUAACUUUGACAAGAGGAAGUCAGAAAAAUCUUAUUGCGCAGUACUGUCGCUGUGCCCAUUGUGGAGACUGUGAUGCCGUGGAAACACCGGGAGUCUUACUGAGAAUUGAAGAAGGAACCUUAACUCUUCUACGUGUCCGCUCCAAUAACUCAGGCCUCUAUGAAGUAAUAAUCAUUGGAAAUAACAUGUCUGAGAUGAAAGUUACGCUCGUUGUCAGCAAACCACCAUUUUCCUCCAGUAGAGAGCCAAGACAAACCUCCAUCUCAAAACCUCCCAACUUCUCUGAAAGACACAGGCUAUAUGUAUUACCUGCUCUAGUUGUAUUCAUCCUGGGGGUCUUAGGGGUUUAUUUGCUCUAUAUAUGGAAGAGGGCAAGUAUUCAUUUUUUAUUAUUUUUUGUUUUUUUAUAUUGACAGAAAUUAGUUGCUAAUGUUCUAAUGAUCUAAGGCCGUAUUCACCAAAAAAUGUUAAGGCUAAAAGUUGCUCCUAAUGCAGAAACUUAAGUUUUGACGAUUCUAUAUAUUAUAAAAUAAGAAAUGCACAGAGUUAAGUUCAGUUCCAAAUUAUUUCUCUGGCUAGGAGAAAUACUUUAGAACCAAGCA